AACUUUCAGCAACGGAUCAAUUGGCUCUCGCAUCGAUGAAGAACGCAGCGAAAUGCGAUAAGUAAUGUGAAUUGCAGAAUUCAGUGAAUCAUCGAAUCUUUGAACGCACCUUGCACCCUUUGGCAUUCCGAAGGGUAUGCUCGUUUGAGUGUCAUUGUACUCUCACACUCCCGAUGCUUUUGGAUUGGGAGUGGUGGACUUGGGUGUUGCUGCUUUACUGUGGCUCACCUCAAAUGGAGUAGUGCAACUCUUGGUUGGACAUAGUACGGCGUGAUAAGUGUCUUCGCCGGCGCCUCAUUAGAGGGUGGCCGAUCGGGAGCUCUGUGCUUCAAACCGUCUUCGGACAACAUCUGACAACUUGACCUCAAAUCGAGUAGGACUACCCGCUGAACUUAAGCAUAUCAAUAAGCGGAGGCU
rnacentral:misc_RNA from 1 species